rnacentral:tRNA from 1 species
ACGCCAAUGAUCUAACGGUAUGAUGCGACCUUCCCAAGGUCGACGCCCGGGUUCAAUUCCCGGUUGGCGUA